rnacentral:pre_miRNA from 1 species
AGUGGAAUUGCUGGGCCAUAUGGUAACUUUAGCUUUUUGAGGAACUGCCAAAUUUUUCUCCAUAGUGGCUGCACCAUUUUCCAUUUCCAUUAGCAGU